rnacentral:rRNA from 1 species
UACGUAGGGUGCGAGCGUUGUCCGGAAUUAUUGGGCGUAAAGGGCUCGUAGGCGGUCUGUUGCGUCAGGAGUGAAAAACUCGGGGCUUAACCCCCGAGCCUGCUUCUGAUACGGGCAGACUAGAGGUAUGCAGGGGAGAAUGGAAUUCCCGGUGUAGCGGUGAAAUGCGCAGAUAUCGGGAGGAACACCGAUGGCGAAGGCGAAUCUCUGGACAGUUACUGACACUGAGGCACGAAAGCGUGGGGAGCAAGACGG